rnacentral:rRNA from 1 species
UUCCCUCAGUAACGGCGAGUGAAGCGGGAACAGCCCAGCGCCGAAUCCCCCGGCGUACAGCCGGCGGGAACUGUGGCGUUUAGGACAGCCCCUGCCGGGCCGCACGGUCGCCCAAGUCCUCCUGAUCGGGGCCUUUCCCASAGUGGGUGUUAGGCCUGUACUGGCGACCGUCGGUCCUGCCCGGAGCGUCCUGGGAGUCGGGUUGCUUGUGAUUGCAGCCCAAAGUGGGUGGUAAACUCCAUCUAAGGCUAAAUACAACACGAGUCCGAUAGCGAACAAGUACCGUGAGGGAAAGUUGAAAAGAACUUUGAAGAGAGAGUUCAAUAGUACGUGAAACCGCUCAGAGGCAAACGGGUGGAACCGCAAAGUCGACCCGCAGGAUUCAACCCGGCGGACAGGCUGCGGACGGAGAGGCCGCGGAUCCCUAGGACCGACUCUUCGUUCGGCGGCCGUCCACGGGUGCACUUUCUGCGGGGAGAGCGCCACGACCGGUUGAGCGGCGGCGAUAAGCCCGUCGGGUGGGUAGCGUCUCGUUCGCGGGACGUGAUGACCCGGCGCGGCGCACGCCUGCCGCGCGACCGAGGAUCGACACCGCGCCCGCCACACGGCACGGGCCCGCGGCCUCCUSGGCGAGACCAAGCUGGGUGGACUGGCGUCAGUGCUCCCUAACCGCUCGUCGUCUAGGACCGCGUCGGCUCCCGUAGGGCGCCCUGGGUCAGUGGCGAUUCGGUCGGCCCUCUACCCGACCCGUCYUGAAACACGGACCAAGGAGUCUAACAUGUGCGCGAGUCAUGGGGCUCUACGAAACCUAAAGGCGCAAUGAAAGUGAAGGCCGCUUCCGSUGGCUGAGGUGAGAUCCCGGCCCGCGGGUCGGGCGCAUCACCGGCCCGUCUCGUCCGCAUCGUCGGUGAGGCGGAGCAAGAGCGUACACGUUGGGACCCGAAAGAUGGUGAACUMUGCCUGAGUAGGACGAAGCCAGAGGAAACUCUGGUGGAAGUCCGUAGCGAUUCUGACGUGCAAAUCGAUCGUCAAACUUGGGUAUAGGGGCGAAAGACUAAUC